AGGUAACAUAUUUGUUUUUAAAUA
rnacentral:tRNA from 1 species